AGAGUUUGAUCAUGGCUCAGAAUCAACGCUGGCGGCAUGCCUAACACAUGCAAGUCGAGCGAGAAAGUGUAGCAAUACAUGAGUACAGCGGCGCACGGGUGAGUAACACGUGGAUAACCUGCCUCAAAGUGGGGAAUAACACCGGGAAACCGGUGCUAAUACCGCAUAUUCUGACGAGGUCUGCGGAUUUCGUCAGGAAAGGAGCAAUUCGCUAUGAGAGGGGUCCGCGGCUGAUUAGCUAGUUGGUGAGGUAAUGGCUCACCAAGGCCACGAUCAGUAGCCGGUCUGAGAGGACGGUCGGCCACACUGGAACUGAGACACGGUCCAGACUCCUACGGGAGGCAGCAGUGGGGAAUUUUUCGCAAUGGGGGCAACCCUGACGAAGCAAUGCCGCGUGGAUGAUGAAGUCUCUUGGGACGUAAAAUCCUUUCGACAGGGACGAAACCGCAAGGUUGACGGUACCUGUAGAAGAAGCCCCGGCUAACUCCGUGCCAGCAGCCGCGGUAAUACGGGGGGGGCAAGCGUUGUUCGGAAUUACUGGGCGUAAAGGGUGCGUAGGCGGCUCUCUAAGUCGGAUGUGAAAACUCUGGGCUCAACCCAGAGCCUGCAUCCGAAACUGGAGGGCUAGGGUUCUGGAGGGGAAAGCGGAAUUCCUGGUGUAGCGGUGAAAUGCGUAGAUAUCAGGAGGAACACCGGUGGC
rnacentral:rRNA from 1 species